rnacentral:tRNA from 1 species
GCCGGAGUAGCUCAACGGUAGAGCAGCGGUAUCGUAAACCGCAGGUUGGAGGUUCAAAUCCUCUCUCCGGCU